AACGAACGCUGGCGGCAGGCUUAACACAUGCAAGUCGAGCGCCCCGCAAGGGGAGCGGCAGACGGGUGAGUAACGCGUGGGAACAUACCCUUUGGUUCGGAAUAACUCAGGGAAACUUGAGCUAAUACCGGAUACGUCCGUAAGGAGAAAGAUUUAUCGCCAAAGGAUUGGCCCGCGUCCGAUUAGCUAGUUGGUGAGGUAACGGCUCACCAAGGCUACGAUCGGUAGCUGGUCUGAGAGGAUGAUCAGCCACAUUGGGACUGAGACACGGCCCAAACUCCUACGGGAGGCAGCAGUGGGGAAUAUUGGACAAUGGGCGCAAGCCUGAUCCAGCCAUGCCGCGUGAGUGAUGAAGGCCUUAGGGGUUGUAAAGCUCUUUUGUCCGGGAAGAUAAUGACUGUACCGGAAGAAUAAGCCCCGGCUAACUUCGUGCCAGCAGCCGCGGUAAU
rnacentral:rRNA from 1 species